UCUCGUGACGUAACUCUUCUUAUAGGGCUCUGUCAACAUCGUUUUGAGGAAUUUCAUACUUUCACUGUCGUCCAAAACACUGUUAUGGAUCCAAAAAGCGGAUGAGAAGUGUUCGGAUCCUCCAACUCCGGCAUAUAUUGCACUAGAGACUGUUUCUAGUAUAUAAUAAUUCAGAGAAGAAAGAAGUGACAGAACCUAGAAAGUGAUAUGAAAGGAGUAGACCCAUUAGUAAUUUUAAAAACCCUUUCAGCGAUUAUCACCAUAAGUGGCUUAGGUACAGACUGACAACAUACUCACUUUUUACCAAUAAAUCGAGAUCGAGUUUGGAGGAUAGAAAUUGUUCAUUCUGAUAGACGGAGACCUCAUUUCAUAAUUUUUACUUUUGUCAAAUGGUUUUACCCAUGUUAAGAGUGGUGGAGGACAAAGUAUGGGACCAUUAAGGAGUGAGACUGCUCAGCUAGAUUAGCUUGUCAUCACGUCUCCUUCAUAUGAUGAGUGUCUCAAAAUUGAGAACAUUAUUUCCAAGGCCCAGGAAAUGCUCUACGCGGUGAAGUAUACGAAUGGAAUUAUUUUACUCGGAAUCCGAAGCUACGUGUGUCCACCUUAAUUAAUAUAAUGGACUCCUUCUCAGGUGGAUGCACACCACUAGUGACUAGCCACAUAAUAUAUUUUUAUUUUUAAUCACACUGUUGACAAGUAGCGUCCAUCCAAGGAGGAGUGUUGUUUGUUUCGUCUUCUUCUUUAUCUCUGAUAAUUUUUAAUCAUAUAUUUGUUUCUGAUCCUCUUUGAAGGGGAUGGGGAGAAGAAAAAUAAAUAUAUUAAAGUUCCGCAA
rnacentral:lncRNA from 1 species